UGGGAUGUAACUCAGUUGUUAGAGUGCUUGCCUUCAAUGCACAGGGUCCUGGGUUUAAUCCCCAGCAUCACAG
rnacentral:tRNA from 1 species